AACGAACGCUGGCGGCAUGCCUAACACAUGCAAGUCGAACGGGAUCCUGGCUUCGGCCAGGUGAGAGUGGCGGACGGGUGAGUAGCGCGUGGGAACCUGCCCAUUGGUCUGGGAUAACUGCGGGAAACUGCAGCUAAUACCGGAUGUACCCGAGAGGGGAAAGAUUUAUCGCCGAUGGAGGGGCCCGCGUCAGAUUAGGUAGUUGGUGAGGUAACGGCUCACCAAGCCUACGAUCUGUAGCUGGUCUGAGAGGAUGAUCAGCCACACUGGGACUGAGAUACGGCCCAGACUCCUACGGGAGGCAGCAGUGGGGAAUAUUGGACAAAUGGGGGCAACCCUGAUCCAGCAAUGCCGCGUGAGUGAUGAAGGCCUUAGGGUGUAAAGCUCUUUUGUGGGGAAGAUAAUGACGGUACCCCAAGAAGAAGCCCGGCUAACUCCGUGCCAGCAGCCG
rnacentral:rRNA from 1 species